ACAUUGAUGAGAUCCCCUCUGAGCCUUCUCUGCUCCGAGCUGAAGGGUCCCAGACCUUGGAGACCUUUUCUCACAGGAGAGAUGCUCCAGUCCCUUCAUCACCUUAGUGGCCCAUUGUUGGACUCUGUCCAGAAGAAAGGGAAGCAGAAUAUAUAUUCAUGACCUCCAAACCAGUGAAGAGCUGAUGAUAGAAGCACUGCCUAUAUUAAUCUGAAGGACAUGGAAAGGGGCAAAAGGAAUAGGGGAAGACACUAUCACUGCAGUGGAGAAGAUCUGAUGGAGAGUGAAAAUGGGCAUCUUUUUAUUUCAAAGAAUACAGUUACAGAAAAAUUGAGAGAAGAAUUAAGCUUCUUAAUUAUGUUAUAAGCACACAGCUUCUUCUGGAAGCUAAUAUGGCAGAAGUAUUUUUUAAAAUAAACAAGAUGAAAUCAGGUUUCUUGGGAACAGCAAAAUAACAUACUGGUAAAUCUCUUCAUUAAUUAUGAAAUGAAAGAGAUAACAAAAAACUUAAUAAGCUAGGUUUAGUAGUCUGAAGGUAUCUCUGGAACAGAUGAACAGUUACACAUAACAACUUCGGAGAAAGCUUGACGAGAUUAAAUUGGAAGAUUAUCAUGGCAUCCCUAUCAUUAAUGCCAUCUUCAUUACAUCAUCCUCAAAUCAAACGAAAUGAGAAGGGAACAUCAAUACGAGAUUUAGAAGAAAGGUACUCCUGGGGGAUCAAGUAUUUUAUAUUUGUCAGCUACUCAAGAAAAACAUGGAAAAUAAUAUUAAAUAUAUUUAUUUUAUAAAAUCGGGGGGGUGGGGAAGAAGCACAUCAUGACAUUCUGUAAAAUAGCCUUGGGUUUUGAUGAAAAGUUAGGAAUCUCAAAAUAUUUAAAUGAUAAAAUUAGAUGUUUGAAGCUGAAAAAUACACUAUAUAGAUAAAGAGGGAAAUCUCUUCACUGUAUCAGUUUAGGAAUACUCUGGGAUGUUCUGUAUCUUCUUUCAAGUUACUACUUAAAAUGAUUUAAUAGAAGAUAAAGUUUUCAGAAUAUCACAAGUACAGAAGAGUUCCACCAUCUCUUUAGACAUGUUAAUAACAUGGUUAUGAUACAAGAUAUUUAAGAUGUGGAAAAAAUAAUUAUUGGAUUUGAACAAAAUAAUUUAAGAUCAACAAGUAGAAGAAACUUAUUAUUGUAAGCUGACAAAUUAUAUUAGCCACCAGCCUGCAAACAUAAAUAUCAGUAAGUUAAAGCAAUUUAAAUGCCUACAAGCAUUAACUGAGAAUUGUUUGGGGACAGAGUAUAUUAAGGCCUGGGUGCAAAAACAGAAUGCUUAUAAUUAUUCUUCAGAUAAUUUCAGCAUCAAAAAUUAAUUGUGAAAUACUUUCUAUAUAAAAGAUUCUUAAAAGUGUUGGUUUUUACAGAUGGAACAUUUGAGAAAGAAAGAAAUUCAAUAUAUUAUAAAAUUAAGUA